rnacentral:rRNA from 1 species
GACGAACGCUGGCGGCGUGCCUAAUACAUGCAAGUCGAACGAGAGCGACCGGUGCUUGCACUGGUCAAUCUAGUGGCGAACGGGUGAGUAACACGUGGGUAACCUGCCCAUCAGAGGGGGAUAACAUCCGGAAACGGAUGCUAAAGCCGCAUAGGUCUUCGAGCCGCAUGGCUUGAAGAGGAAAAGAGGCGCAAGCUUCUGCUGAUGGAUGGACCCGCGGUGCAUUAGCUAGUUGGUGAGGUAACGGCUCACCAAGGCCGUGAUGCAUAGCCGACCUGAGAGGGUGAUCGGCCACAUUGGGACUGAGACACGGCCCAAACUCCUACGGGAGGCAGCAGUAGGGAAUCUUCCGCAAUGGACGCAAGUCUGACGGAGCAACGCCGCGUGAGUGAAGAAGGUUUUCGGAUCGUAAAACUCUGUUGUUAGAGAAGAACAAGUGCUAGAGUAACUGUUAGCGCCCUGACGGUAUCUAACCAGAAAGCCACGGCUAACUACGUG